CAUGGGUGUGGAUCCAUCAUGAAUAAAUUAAUGCCUUUGCUGUUGGUGGGGGCAGGGAGCAUGGUACAGGGGUGACUGAGUUCCUGCUUUGUUAGUUCCCACUGAAACUGAUUGACAAAAAGGGCCUGGCACCUCUCUCUUCUCUCUCUUUCUCUCUCUCACCAUGUGAUCUAUGCAUGCCUGUUCCCGUCUGCUUGCACUAAGAAUGGAAACAGCCUAAGUUCCUCACCAGAAGCAGAGGCUGGCACCAUGUUUGUUAUGCAGCCUGCAGAACCAGAAAUCAUGGGAAAAACUGCCCAUUUCUGUUUUGUCCACUUUGCUUUGGGAAGUGAGAGCUAUAGUCAUUAUCACCACAUCCCCUGGCAUCCAAUUCCACAUUCUACCUCAGAAGUUAUUUGGAGGAAUCCAAGGACUUAGAUAUUUUACCAAUGUCUCUGGUGAUUUUUAUAUCGGUGGCCCAUGGGUGUUGACCUAUGAAACUGCUCUGCAGCAGAUAUUGAGAAAUAGGAGUUCAGGACAAUGAUCUCUGACCUUGCCACUAAGAGUAAAAAAAUGUGCUGAACACCUUUACUGGGAUACUAGUCACUACCAUCGAACUCCAAGUACUUCAGAUUUGGAACUCGGACUGCUUUCCUUGCUCCUCAGCCUGCAGAUGGCCUAUUGUGGGACCUUGUGAUUAUGUAGUGAGACGAGCAUGAGUGGAGCAGGAGACGGCUGUCCCCCACCCACAAGGAAUAUCAGAUGAUGGUUCAGCGAUCAUCACAUUGCCUCUCUGAAAGUGAUAAAUUGGCAGCUGGCACCAGGGAGAGGCUAUUUCCUGAUGGCCCACACCUGUUGCACUAAGAUGUUAAUCGAAUGCAGAUUCCAGGGAGAAACAACUUCCUGGGCAUGUGCGUAAGAGACAAAAUGGCAGGUAUGACCUUCUGGGGACACUCCACCAGAAAAGGGAAGAAAACCUCAGAUGGGCAUGCAUAUAACUUCCUAAACACACUGCUCACACUCUCCUCCCAAGGGUAAGGAGGGCACUGCACAUGCAGGCAGCCCAUCCUAAGGGAAGCAUCCUGGGAAAGGGGUCAGUCUAUAUGGUUCUGGGAUCAAGAUUAAACACCACAUUAGACCUUCAAGUUGCCCACUUGGGUCUCUUCUAUGUGUAUUUUUCUUUCCUUUCUUUUCUGCUCUAAAGCUUUUUUAAAUAAACAUACACAUCCCUCCUCUGAAACUUGCCUUGGUCUCUUUUUCUGCCAUAUGCAACUCAGUCAAAUUAUUUCUUCUGAGGAGGAAAAAAUUGAGGUAGCUGCAUUCCCAUACAGAUUCACCAUCGGUAACUCAGAUACCUUCUACUGGCCAUAUGUUUGGUGUUCUAUUCAAGAAAUAAUUGCUAAAGCCAAUGUCUUAAAGUGUUUUUCUUAUGUUUUUCUUCUAAGAGUUUUACAGUUUCAGGUCUUACACUUAAGUAUUUAAUUAAUUUGAGUUGAUUUUAUGCAUGGUGUAGGAUGUGUGUAAUAUUCAGUUUUUCUAACACUAUUUGUUGAAGAGACUAUUCUUUUUCCACUGUGUAUCCUUAGAAGCAUUGCUGAAGUGUUGUUG
rnacentral:lncRNA from 10 species